GAACGCGGAAUCCAUCCCAAAAAACUAACAAACAUUUACCUUAAACCCAGUAUAACUGUGACAGAAUUUGCUAUUUAAACGUAUUAUAUUUGACGCAAAUCAAGGAUUGUCUUUUCUCAGUCCACAACGCAAGAAGGUACACUUGAAUGAGCAUAAUUCGCGUCAGAGGAGGACAAACGUGGCUGUUUAAUGAGCGCGAGCAAGUACAUGACUAGUAGCUCGCUAACGUUAGAUAGCUGGAGAACGAAGGACUAGGUAGCGUAGUUGUCAGCAAAAAUCCAUCUGGCACAUACUAGGUUAGCUGGCUAGAAAGUUUAUUCUACAAAUAUUCAGGUAUCAUCUUGCCCGCUUUCUGCUUUGGUUGAGGUGUGGACUUGUUUGACAGAAUGGACAAAGAUGAGCUGGUGGAGUACUUCAGGAAGCAUGAGACAGGACCCUGAGGUACCCUCUGCUGUAGCAGCAAUCUCCUGGAAUUCCUCAAAAGAGACCAAAGUCAGAUUUACUUAGACAAGACAUUACUUUUCUACCCUCCUUCACUUGUUAUACUGAUGUGUAAAUCAAGAGGCAAAUCUUUUGUCUGAUGGUUACUGAAUUCAAUAUAUUUUCCUUAUCGCUGCUGAAGGGUUGGCACUCGAUUUGUCAAUUAUUAGCAAAUAGACAAGUUGUGGUAUUGAUUGGUUGGGUGCUUUAUGUCCCUGAGCAGGUGAGACCAUCCUGGGCCUGAGAGAGAAUCUGACCCAGACCAUUGGGUGUCUGGAGGAGGCGGACUCCUCUGUGGCUGUCUCGUCUGGUGGCGAACUGUUCCUCCGCUUCAUCAGCCUCACAUCACUGGAAAACCCUGGGAGUAGAGGGCUAUCACCUAUCCCUCUUGCUGCAACACCUAGGCUACUCUUAUACACUCGAGCUCACUUUACCGUGAUUUGACAUAUAUUCAAUGGCGAGAGUACCUUGAGUUGUACAACGUACCAUCAUGAUUUGAGAUGUCAUUCUCAGAAAUGUUUUAUUUGUCCCCCGAACAGGAUCUCUCUCAAUGCAAGAAAGCUAUGGUAGAGAGAGGAGAGCUCUUUCUAAAGAAAAUAUCCCUUUCCAGGAGCAAAAAAAUACUGACACACUCAUCCUCCCGGGUGGUUCUUAGGGUACUGGCGAGUGCAGCAGCCGACAAGAAACGUUUCAUUGUGUACGUCACUGAGUCACAACCAGACUCUGCAGGACAAAAAAUGGCAGAGAAAUUACGCAACCUAAACAUUCCAGUCACAGUGGUUCUUGAUGCUGCAGUGGGGUAAAUAAUGGAAAAGGUGGACCUGGUGAUUGUGGGUGCAGAGGGAGUGGUGGAAAGUGGUGGCAUUAUUAACAAGAUUGGCACCUAUCAACUGGCUGUGUGUUCAAAGGCUCACAACAAGCCUUUCUACGUUGUGGCAGAAAGCUUCAAAUUUGUAAGACUCUUCCCUCUAAACCAGCAAGAUGUCCCAGACCGAUUUAAGGUAAUUGCACUAAAAUAUGGUCAUUAACAUUCAUCUUUAAUUUACAAUCUGUAGAAACUGAGAAUAGAAAGGUUCAGAACUUGUCAAACAUUCCAGCACAGUUAAAGUAUAUGGCAAUUAGAAAAUCAAAACUGGAUGGUUUUCAGAGAUAGAUGGGAGGAGUGAGGGUAGCUGAAGGGUGGGACUAAACAAAUACAAAUUAAAAAAAGAUAACUAAAUGUAAAAUAUACAGUUUCCAUAAAGUGUAGUAUGUAGACGUAACAAAAAUAUAAAUGCAACAAUUCCAAUGAUUUUGAGUUAGAAGGAAAUCAAUCAAUUGAAAUAAAUUAGGCCCUGAUCUAUG